rnacentral:rRNA from 1 species
GACGAACGCUGGCGGCGUGCCUAAUACAUGCAAGUCGAGCGAAUGACGAGAAGCUUGCUUCUCUGAUUUAGCGGCGGACGGGUGAGUAACACGUGGGCAACCUGCCCUACAGAUCGGGAUAACUCAGGGAAACCUGGGCUAAUACCGGAUAAUCCUUCGAAUCACAUGUUUUGAAGUUGAAAGGCGCUUCGGCGUCACUGUAGGAUGGGCCCGCGGUGCAUUAGCUAGUUUGUGGGGUAACGGCCUACCAAGGCAACGAUGCAUAGCAGACCUGAGAGGGUGAUCGGCCACAUUGGGACUGAGACACGGCCCAAACUCCUACGGGAGGCAGCAGUAGGGAAUCUUCCACAAUGGACGAAAGUCUGAUGGAGCAACGCCGCGUGAGUGAUGAAGGUUUUCGGAUCGUAAAACUCUGUUGUAAGGGAAGAACAAGUACGUUAGGAAAUGAACGUACCUUGACGGUACCUUAUUAGAAAGCCACGGCUAACUACGUGCCAGCCGCCGCCGUAA